GAUGAACGCUGGCGGCGUGCCUAAUACAUGCGAGUCGAGCGAACAGACGAGGAGCUUGCUCCUCUGACGUUAGCGGCGGACGGGUGAGUAACACGUGGAUAACCUACCUAUAAGACUGGGAUAACUUCGGGAAACCGGAGCUAAUACCGGAUAAUAUAUUGAACCGCAUGGUUCAAUAGUGAAAGACGGUUUUGCUGUCACUUAUAGAUGGAUCCGCGCCGCAUUAGCUAGUUGGUAAGGUAACGGCUUACCAAGGCAACGAUGCGUAGCCGACCUGAGAGGGUGAUCGGCCACACUGGAACUGAGACACGGGCCAGACUCCUACGGGAGGCAGCAGUAGGGAAUCUUCCGCAAUGGGCGAAAGCUUGACGGAGCAACGCCGCGUGAGUGAUGAAGGUCUUCGGAUCGUAAAACUCUGUUAUUAGGGAAGAACAAAUGUGUAAGUAACUAUGCACGUCUUGACGGUACCUAAUCAGAAAGCCACGGCUAACUACGU
rnacentral:rRNA from 1 species